rnacentral:rRNA from 1 species
ACGGCUCAGUAACACGUGGACAACCUACCCUAUGGAGGGGGAUAACCCCGGGAAACUGGGGAUAAUACCCCAUAGACUAUGGAAGCUGGAAUGCUCUGUAGUUGAAAGGUCCGCCGCCAUAGGAUGGGUCUGCGGCCGAUUAGGUUGUUGUUGGGGUAACGGCCCAACAAGCCUGUAAUCGGUACGGGUUGUGGGAGCAAGAGCCCGGAGAUGGAUUCUGAGACACGAAUCCAGGCCCUACGGGGCGCAGCAGGCGCGAAAACUUUACAAUGCGGGAAACCGUGAUAAGGGAACUCCGAGUGCCCGUAAAAUCGGGCUGUCCAUCUGUUUAAAUAACAGGUGAAGAAAGGGCCGGGCAAGACCGGUGCCAGCCGCCGCGGUAAUACCGGCGGCUCGAGUGGUGGCCACUAUUACUGGGCUUAAAGCGUUCGUAGCUGGUCUGUUAAGUCUCUGGGGAAAUCUACUGGCUUAACCAAUAGACGUUUCAGGGAUACUGGCAGACUAGGGACCGGGAGAGGUGAGAGGUACUCCAGGGGUAGGAGUGAAAUCCUGUAAUCCUUGGGGGACCACCUGUGGCGAAGGCGUCUCACCAGAACGGCUCCGACAGUGAGGGACGAAAGCUGGGGGAGCAAACCGGAUUAGAUACCCGGGUAGUCCCAGCCGUAAACGAUGUGCGUUAGGUGUAUCGAUGACCACGAGUCAUCGAGGUGCCGAAGAGAAAUCGUGAAACGUACCGCCUGGGAAGUACGGUCGCAAGGCUGAAACUUAAAGGAAUUGGCGGGGGAG